rnacentral:lncRNA from 1 species
CCAGCGGUUAGGAUAUCUGGCUUUCACCCAGGAGACCCGGGUUCGAUUCCCGGCAACGGAACAUUUUGCUUUUUAAGCACUCAGUUCAUCUGGGCCUCUUAUUGGGCCGCACCCAUCAGUUUGGUUAUGGAAAUUUAGACCAACCCAAUGUAAUGGGCUUGGCUUGCCCUCAUUCAAAUGUUCACUGUUUUAUUUUUGAAAUUUUCUUUCCAAAUGCAAGUAAAUUAAAUUAAAUUAAAUUAAAGCAAGAAAUGUUGUCUGUUUGAUUCAAAAGACGCAAGCUUGAGUUGGAGCUGUUGAUAGAGUCUCCUUGAUUGUUUUUAAAACAUUUACACAUCCACUCAAUGUUCCUGUGGUUUGCCAUUGCCAUGCAAAUUUAAAACUAUCAGCAAACAUCAAGUGGAAUUCACAACUUAGAACCCAGAUAUAUGAAAAGAAGAAAAAUACAACAUCAUCUCCUCAGUCAGCAACUCCACCACCUGAGACUUGUUCCCUCCCACCGGAAACCGGCACAGCGGGCAGGUGGUCCGGCAUGCGUCGAACCACUUAUCAACACACACCUUGUGAAACUCAUGCAGGCAAGGGAGACUUCUCACGUCCUCACCCUCCACCAAUCUUGACAAACACACACAACAAACCUCCUCCUCAACUAUCUUCCCACCCUCUGAUUCAAUCACCUCAUAGCAACAUGGGGCUGCCUUAAAACUUGUCUGCCCUAAAAGCGGACUGAAGAAAUUGUAGAUGAAGGAGGCUGCCCUAUUCAGAACCAUUUGGG